AGUGAACGCUGGCGGUAGGCCUAACACAUGCAGUCGAACGGCAGCACAGUAAGCGCUUGCUCUUACGGGUGGCGAGUGGCGGCCGGGUGAGGAAUACAUCGGAAUCUACUUUUUCGUGGGGGAUAACGUAGGGAAACUUACGCUAAUACCGCAUACGACCUACGGGUGAAAGCAGGGGAUCUUCGGACCUUGCGCGAUUGAAUGAGCCGAUGUCGGAUUAGCUAGUUGGCGGGGUAAAGGCCCACCAAGGCGACGAUCCGUAGCUGGUCUGAGAGGAUGAUCAGCCACACUGGAACUGAGACACGGUCCAGACUCCUACGGGAGGCAGCAGUGGGGAAUAUUGGACAAUGGGCGCAAGCCUGAUCCAGCCAUACCGCGUGGGUGAAGAAGGCCUUCGGGUUGUAGAGCCCUUUUGUUGGGAAAGAAAAGCAGCAGGUUAAUACCCCGCUGUUCUGACGGUACCCAAAGAAUAAGCACCGGCUAACUUCGUG
rnacentral:rRNA from 1 species